AUGCUGGCGGCGUGCCUAACACAUGCAAGUCGAGCGGCAGCGAGUUUUACACUGAAUUCUGGAAGCUUCUGGGUAAUAUAGAAGAUUUAUUCAAGAAUUUUGUGUAAAAUGUCGGCGAGCGGCGGACGGCUGAGUAACGCGUAGGAAUUUACCUCAAAGUGAGGAAUAACUGCCCGAAAGGGUAGCUAAUGCCGCAUAUGGUCUUCGGAUUAAAGCCUUCGGGCGCUUUGGGAGAAGCCUGCGUUGGAUUAGGUAGUUGGUAGGGUAAUGGCCUACCAAGCCGACGAUCCAUAGCUGGUCUGAGAGGAUGAUCAGCCAGACUGGAACUGAGACACGGUCCAGACUCCUACGGGAGGCAGCAGUGAGGAAUCUUCCACAAUGGGCGAAAGCCUGAUGGAGCAACGCCGCGUGAAGGAUGAAGGCCUUCGGGUUGUAAACUUCUUUUAUGAGUGAAGAAUAUGACGGUAACUCAUGAAUAAGCACCGGCUAACUACGUGCCAGCAGCCGCGGUCAUACGUAGGGUGCGAGUAUUAUCCGGAGUGACUGGGCGUAAAGAGUUGCGUAGGCGGUUUAAUAAGUGAAUAGUGAAACCUGGUGGCUCAACCAUACAGACUAUUAUUCAAACUGUUAAACUCGAGAAUGGUAGAGGUAACUGGAAUUUCUAGUGUAGGAGUGAAAUCCGUAGAUAUUAGAAGGAACACCGAUGGCGUAGGCAGGUUACUGGGCCAUUUCUGACGCUAAGGCACGAAAGCGUGGGGAGCGAACCGGAUUAGAUACCCGGGUAGUCCACGCCGUAAACGAUGGAUACUAGCUGUUGGAGGUAUCGACCCCUUCAGUAGCGAAGCUAACGCGUUAAGUAUCCCGCCUGUGGAGUACGGCCGCAAGGCUAAAACAUAAAGGAAUUGACGGGGACCCGCA
rnacentral:rRNA from 1 species